GAUGAAGAACGCAGCGAAAUGCGAUAAGUAAUGUGAAUUGCAGAAUUCAGUGAAUCAUCGAGUCUUUGAACGCACAUUGCGCCCCCUGGUAUUCCGGGGGGCAUGCCUGUCCGAGCGUCAUUGCUGCCCUCAAGCACGGCUUGUGUGUUGGGUCCCGUCCUCCGAUCCCGGGGGACGGGCCCGAAAGGCAGCGGCGGCACCGCGUCCGGUCCUCGAGCGUAUGGGGCUUUGUCACCCGCUCUGUAGGCCCGGCCGGCGCUUGCCGAUCAACCCAAAUUUUUAUCCAGGUUGACCUCGGAUCAGGUAGGGAUACCCGCUGAACUUAAGCAUAUCAAUAAGCGGAGGA
rnacentral:misc_RNA from 1 species